UACGGGGGGGGCAAGCGUUGUUCGGAAUUACUGGGCGUAAAGGGCUCGUAGGUGGCCAACUAAGUCAGACGUGAAAUCCCUCGGCUUAACCGAGGAACUGCGUCUGACACUGGAUGGCUUGAAUUCGGGAGAGGGAUGCGGAAUUCCAGGUGUAGCGGUGAAAUGCGUAGAUAUCUGGAGGAACACCGGUGGCGAAGGCGGCAUCCUGGACCGACAUUGACGCUGAGGAGCGAAAGCCAGGGGAGCAAACGGG
rnacentral:rRNA from 1 species